rnacentral:rRNA from 1 species
AGUGAACGCUGGCGGUAGGCCGAACACAUGCAAGUCGAACGGCAGCACAGGAGAGCUUGCUCUCUGGGUGGCGAGUGGCGGACGGGUGAGGAAUACAUCGGAAUCUACUUUUUCGUGGGGGAUAACGUAGGGAAACUUACGCUAAUACCGCAUACGACCUACGGGUGAAAGCAGGGGACCUUCGGGCCUUGCGCGAUUGAAUGAGCCGAUGUCGGAUUAGCAAGUUGGCGGGGUAAAGGCCCACCAAGGCGACGAUCCGUAGCUGGUCUGAGAGGAUGAUCAGCCACACUGGAACUGGGACACGGUCCAGACUCCUACGGGAGGCAGCAGUGGGGAAUAUUGGACAAUGGGCGCAAGCCUGAUCCAGCCAUACCGCGUGGGUGAAGAAGGCCUUCGGGUUGUAAAGCCCUUUUGUUGGGAAAGAAAUCCAGCUGGCUAAUACCCGGUUGGGAUGACGGUACCCAAAGAAUAAGCACCGGCUAACUUCGUGCCAGCAGCCGCCGUAA